UACGGAGGGGGCAAGCGUUAUUCGGAAUUAUUGGGCGUAAAGGGCGCGUAGGCGGCUUUUCAAGUGACGGGUGAAAGCCCUCGGCUUAACCGAGGAACUGCCUGUCAGACUGGAAGGCUUGAGACCGGGAGAGGUGAGUGGAAUUCCCAGUGUAGCGGUGAAAUGCGUAGAUAUUGGGAGGAACACCAGUGGCGAAGGCGGCUCACUGGACCGGAACUGACGCUGAGGCGCGAAAGCGUGGGGAGCAAACAGG
rnacentral:rRNA from 1 species